GCGACUGUCACGGUUUAUAAGCGACACCAUCCUCCCCGUCGUCCCUUUUCGCCUCUGCUCCCUCAUGUUGAACGUUGUCAGACGGGGAACAGCGUCUCUUUUACUCGUGACCAUGAAAUCAAGAAAUGGAACCGCCCAGCCAGUUCUGGGUGCAUCCCAGAAAGACAGUCCCUUUCCUGCAAGCUGAGGAAGACGGGUUAUGAUUAAG